CGCGUAGGCGGCACGGUAAGUCGGGAGUGAAAGCCCGGGGCUCAACCCCGGAACGUCUUUCGAAACUGCCGAGCUAGAGUGCGGAAGAGGCAACUGGAAUUCCCAGUGUAGCGGUGAAAUGCGUAGAUAUUGGGAAGAACACCUGAGGCGAAGGCGGGUUGCUGGGCCGACACUGACGCUGAGGCGCGAAAGCCAGGGGAGCGAACG
rnacentral:rRNA from 1 species